rnacentral:tRNA from 1 species
GGCAGGUUGCCCGAGCGGCCAAAGGGAGCUGACUGUAAAUCAGCCGGCAUAGCCUUCGCAGGUUCGAAUCCUGCACCUGCCACCA